AAAGGCGUUGGAAAGCGUGGUGGCCAAGGUGAUGAGCGCCAACAAAGCAACCAGCAGGACUUUCCAGGGCAAGGCGAUGGAGUCCUGGUAAAUGUAGCCGUCGGCGCUGCAGUUGUGGGAGAGGUGAAAUCAUCAGUGAAGACUCCAGCACUGAACAACCCUUUCCUGUAUAGCGAUAGCCCAUAGCCAGGCUCCUCUCAAACAGCCUCACUAUCUCUGAAAGUUGAAUUUCAAAGCAAAACUCCUGCAAGUAUCAUUUACAAGAAGGAUCUAUGCAAGGUACAAAGCAAAUCUCAAGCAAACUGAAACUGACAGUUAAUCAAAAAAGAUGAUUAAGAAAAUAACUGUAAUCAAAGGAAAUAACUUCUCCAUCAACAAUCAGUGGCUUUCAUCAGAGUAUUAUGUCACAGCAACAGAAGAGAAACGAGGACAACAUCAAUAAAGUUGCAUUGCAUAAAUUUGCCAGCACCCAAAUCUAACUUGACCCUCCCAAGUAUACAGAGCCAUGUUCUAUCUUGUCCUUGUCAAAUACCCACAUCUUUCUCUCAGGUACUUCCAAAGGCUGAUGGCUGACACCUUGGCAACAAAAAUGUAUAAUUACAUUGUCUUGAUCCAUUCUUCACUCAGUAGAUUAUUGCUUUGGAUCCUAAGUGCCAAUAUUUUUUCUGUAUAUAUUAAAUGAAAAGGUCUAAGACAGUGGUGACUUCUCUUGUUAGAAAAGUUUACUUUUCUGACAAAUGUAUACUCUACUUUCAAUAUUAGAGUAUGCUUUUAUUAUGUCUAAUUUUUUCUCUACUACCGCUUGACUAUAACAGACUAGUUAUGAGAAUUUGUCCUAAGGUAGUAAAUUUUAAGGCUAAAACUUAGGGCUGUGGUGAGUUCUCAGGUAAUUGUCAGUUUGUUUCCAAAAAGAGUAUGAGACCCCAGUUCUCUCUCAUCCUUCUUUCUGCUUCUUAAUCAUGAGGUAAAGCAGUUUAACAUUUGCCCCAUCUUGGUCCUCUGGCAUCCUUAUAUCCAGUCCAAAUAUAGGUUAACGAAAUCUUAGAAUUUCCAAUCCAAAAGCAUGAGCCAAUAUGCACCUUUUAUAUUCAUUAAUCAAUCGUUUAACAUUUUGGUUGUUAUAGUAACAAGAAGCUAACUAACAAAGUCCCUUCAUGUCCUGAGAGAGGGAUCAUAUAUUUUUUUAAAUGUUUUUUUUUUGGUGUUAUUUUCAUUAUGUUUGCAUUUUAAGUAUGAGUGUGCAUAGAAAAUUGGCAUUUAGUUGAGUAAGAUUUACAAAUUUAAAAUUGCUGAGUAUUUUGGGCCAUAAAGAUUGGGUUGUCAUUUGUUUU
rnacentral:lncRNA from 1 species